UACGGAGGGGGCGAGCGUUGUCCGAAUUUACUGGGCGUAAAGCGCGCGUAGGCGGAAGCAUAAGUCUGCUGUGAAAGCCCGGGGCUCAACCCCGGAGGGUCGGUGGAUACUGUGCUUCUGGAAGAUGCUAGGGGGAGAUGGAAUUACCGGUGUAGCGGUGAAAUGCGUAGAUAUCGGUAGGAACACCAGUGGCGAAGGCGGUCUCCUGGGGCAUUCUUGACGCUGAGGUGCGAAAGCUGGGGGAGCGAACGGG
rnacentral:rRNA from 1 species